rnacentral:rRNA from 1 species
UGGGGAAUUUUGGACAAUGGGGGAAACCCUGAUCCAGCCAUCCCGCGUGUGCGAUGAAGGCCUUCGGGUUGUAAAGCACUUUUGGCAGGAAAGAAACGUCGCGGGUUAAUACCCCGCGAAACUGACGGUACCUGCAGAAUAAGCACCGGCUAACUACGUGCCAGCAGCCGCGGUAAUACGUAGGGUGCAAGCGUUAAUCGGAAUUACUGGGCGUAAAGCGUGCGCAGGCGGUUCGGAAAGAAAGAUGUGAAAUCCCAGAGCUUAACUUUGGAACUGCAUUUUUUAACUACCGGGCUAGAGUGUGUCAGAGGGAGGUGGAAUUCCGCGUGUAGCAGUGAAAUGCGUAGAUAUGCGGAGGAACACCGAUGGCGAAGGCAGCCUCCUGGGAUAACACUGACGCUCAUGCACGAAAGCGUGGGGAGCAAACAGGAUUAGAUACCCUGGUAGUCCACGCCCUAAACGAUGUCAACUAGCUGUUGGGGCCUUCGGGCCUUGGUAGCGCAGCUAACGCGUGAAGUUGACCGCCUGGGGAGUACGGUCGCAAGAUUAAAACUCAAAGGAA